CCUUGGCCUCAAGUCA
rnacentral:rRNA from 33 species